UGUUUUCACCUGUCAACCUCCAAUAUGAUGAACACAAUAAUUUCGUGAGCCAAGACUGAACACCUCAGAUUAGCAAAAUUGAAGGGCAAAUGCACUUAAUAAAUCAGAAACGCAUGAUUAAACAAAGACCAAGAUACCUAGUUUGCAUUGAUUUAGAGGCUAACUUGGAAGGCAAAACAGAACAAAAGCUCAAAAUCAACUACACAUUAUUAGUAUAGAAAAGCUUCGGGCCUACUACACUUGGUUGAGUCUACAUGGAACAUUCAGUUUAAUCAUAUCAUAGAAUUUUAACACCAACCCACAACUAAUAUCCGAAGUCUUAAAAGAGUUAAAAGUUGAAGCAAAGGGCAAGUGGAACCAACCCUGGGAGUGUGGGGCAUAACGGUGCUUGUGCUUCUUCCUUUUCUUUUUGGAAAUGGGAUCUGCUGCUUCGACUUUAGCUUUAAAAACGUGGAGGGGUUUCCCUUUCAGCCUCAGUCUCCCCCGACAACGUUCUGGUAGGACGACAUCUGUAGAUAUACAACACAAAUGCAAAUGCAAAUGUUCCAUCUAUAAACAAAAUUAUACCAAUUAAAUAAAUAAAAAAACUUAAAAGAGAAAUGAGAAUGCCAAGAAAUAAGGAUGAACUGCCUGUAUAUAUGUUAAGAACAAGCUUCGCCUCACAUCAGAUCCCAAAGGUGUGAUGAUUGAUGUCUUUUCUUUCUCUCCUCCUGCAGGUUCUAGAGGCAAAAGGACGCUUCCAGAACCCCGAACAAAUCUCAUUUAAUUCUCGUAUAUUAAUUAAUUAAAUAAAAGAGAACUUGGUAUUUAGAAACGCUGUCGUUUCCACCCUUUUUUACACUUCCCACCCCACUGCUUGCCGCGAUAAAUGAAAUCAACAGUUUCUUAUUCGUCAAUUCCAAAAAGAAGACAAGUUACGGUCUUGACGCCAUUUCCAACUGUAGAAUUAUUAAGUUGGUGAUGACAAUGGCAACGGCAGUGGGUAUCUCAGCGUGUGGGGUUAGUCUUCAGUGGACGAAUCCCAACUCUUAUUCGUCAGGUAAAGGAUGCAAAUAUGCUGGUCAAUCCGUGAGAGCGUUACCUAUUCGAAUCCUAACGGUAGGGAAAAAGAGGCUCCCUGGUGUACAAUUGCUGGUGGAUGAAUAUAUUGCAAAGCUCAAAAGUUAUUGUCAUGUUGAUGAUGUUCAAAUUCGCUCCAAUCCUAAAAAUGCGCGCAAUGCGAUGGCUCAGGUUGAUGAUGAAGACAUAGCUGUCAUCAACCUUAUCACGUCUAAUGAUUGGGUGGUGAUUUUGGACGAGCGUGGACUAGAUCUUAGCUCUGAGCACUUGGCUGAAUUGUUAGGGGAUGCUGGGAAUACGCUUCAAGAUUAUCAUUUUGCAUUGGUGGACCAUAUGGUCAUGGACAACGAGUGCGAAAACGUGCAAAUGUGUCGAUCAAGUUGUCGUCGAUGGUAUUGAAUCAUCAAAUUGCACUUGUUGUGCUCAUGGAACAAAUUUAUAGAUCAUGGACUAUUUUGAAAGGACAAAAGUACCAUCAUUAGCCUUCAUUUCCGGCCAAGCAUGCUGCACAGAUUGAAAUUUUUGUGAGAACCUACAUUCGUAGUCUUGCACUUGACACCAAUAGCAAAUGAACUAGAUGGAAAGGUGUCAAGUAUGCUGCAGACUGACAUAACAAUUUUGAAGAGGCAUAGACAAAGUUUGGGAGUUGUUGAACUCGGUAAAUUAAGUUUAUGCAUUGUUUUUAUUGUAUCAUCUAGCUACAACUAAGAAACUCACGGUUGUAGUUGUAAAAGGAUUUAACAUUCAAGGCAAUCCCAAACCAGUAAUCUGUGUACCAGAUAAAAAAAGAAAGAAGGUUAAAAUGUAUUUGACAUUGAAGCAUAUUAUUGUUUUAGCAUUUAGGGAAGAUGGAGAUGCAAAUUAGCUUUUGGAGUAAAAAAUGGAAGAAAUGAAAGCUAUUUGUUUUGGAAUGUCCAAAAA